CCUACGGGAAGCAGCAGUGGGGAAUAUUGGACAAUGGGGGCAACCCUGAUCCAGCCAUGCCGCGUGUGUGAAGAAGGCCCUCGGGUUGUAAAGCACUUUCAGUGAGGAAGAACGCCUGGUGGUUAAUACCCAUCAGGAAAGACAUCACUCACAGAAGAAGCACCGGCUAACUCCGUGCCAGCAGCCGCGGUAAUACGGAGGGUGCGAGCGUUAAUCGGAAUUACUGGGCGUAAAGCGCGCGUAGGUGGCUUGAUAAGCCGGUUGUGAAAGCCCCGGCUCAACCUGGGAACGGCAUCCGGAACUGUCAAGCUAGAGUGCAGGAGAGGAAGGUAGAAUUCCCGGUGUAGCGGUGAAAUGCGUAGAGAUCGGGAGGAAUACCAGUGGCGAAGGCGGCCUUCUGGACUGACACUGACACUGAGGUGCGAAAGCGUGGGUAGCAAACAGGAUUAGAUACCCGUGUAGUC
rnacentral:rRNA from 1 species